CGGAAACUAGUGGCGAACGGCUGAGUAACGCGUAGGUGACCUACCCCGUAGUGUGGAAUAACUGCCCGAAAGGGUAGCUAAUACCGCAUGUUGAGCCGACAUCAAUGUCGUCUCCAAAGCAGAAAUGCGCUAUGGGCGGGGCCUGCGUUCGAUUAGCUAGUUGGUGGGGUAAUGGCUCACCAAGGCGACGAUCGAUAGGUGGUCUGAGAGGACGAUCACCCAGACUGGGACUGAGACACGGCCCAGACUCC
rnacentral:rRNA from 1 species